GGGAAACGCCCGGUUACAUUCCGAACCCGGAAGCUAAGCCUUUCAGCGCCGAUGGUACUGCAGGGGGGACCCUGUGGGAGAGUAGGACGCCGCCGAAC
rnacentral:rRNA from 1 species